GACACGGCUCGUGUGAUGGUGGUGCAAGUGGUGAGAGUGGAGUACAGUGUGGGUGAGUCGCACUACAGUGUGGGUGAGUCGCACUACAGUGUGGAUGAGUCACACUACAGUUUGGGUGAGUCACACUACAGUGUGAGUGAGUCACACUACAGUGUUAGUGAGUCACACUACAAUGUGGAUGAGUCGCACUACAGUGUGGGUGAGUCACACUACAGUGUGAGUGAGUCACACUACAGUGUGGAUGAGUUGCACUAUAUUGUGGGUGAGUCACUACAGUUUGGGUGAGUCACACUACAUGUGGAUGAGUUGCACUAUAUUGUGGGUGAGUCACUACAGUUUGGGUGAGUCACACUACAGU